rnacentral:rRNA from 1 species
GGGUUGUGAGGUUAAGCGACUAAGCGUACACGGUGGAUGCCCUGGCAGUCAGAGGCGAUGAAGGACGUGCUAAUCUGCGAUAAGCGCCGGUAAGGUGAUAUGAACCGUUAUAACCGGCGAUUUCCGAAUGGGGAAACCCAGUGCGACUCGUCACACUAUCAUUAACUGAAUCCAUAGGUUAAUGAGGCGAACCGGGGGAACUGAAACAUCUAAGUACCCCGAGGAAAAGAAAUCAACCGAGAUUCCCCAGUAGCGGCGAGCGAACGGGGAGGAGCCCAGAGCCUGAAUCAGCAUGUGUGUUAGUGGAAGCGUCUGGAAAGGCGCGCGAUACAGGGUGACAGCCCCGUACACAAAAGCGCAUGUGCUGUGAGCUCGAUGAGUAGGGCGGGACACGUGGUAUCCUGUCUGAAUAUGGGGGACCAUCCUCCAAGGCUAAAUACUCCUGACUGACCGAUAGUGAACCAGUACCGUGAGGGAAAGGCGAAAAGAACCCCGGCGAGGGGAGUGAAAAAGAACCUGAAACCGUGUACGUACAAGCAGUGGGAGCACCCUUCGGGUGUGACUGCGUACCUUUUGUAUAAUGGGUCAGCGACUUAUAUUCUGUAGCAAGGUUAACCGAAUAGGGGAGCCGGAGGGAAACCGAGUCUUAAUUGGGCGUUAAGUUGCAGGGUAUAGACCCGAAACCCGGUGAUCUAGCCAUGGGCAGGUUGAAGGUUGGGUAACACUAACUGGAGGACCGAACCGACUAAUGUUGAAAAAUUAGCGGAUGACCUGUGGCUGGGGGUGAAAGGCCAAUCAAACCGGGAGAUAGCUGGUUCUCCCCGAAAGCUAUUUAGGUAGCGCCUCGUGAAUUCAUCUCCGGGGGUAGAGCACUGUUUCGGCUAGGGGGCCAUCCCGGCUUACCAACCCGAUGCAAACUGCGAAUACCGGAGAAUGUUAUCACGGGAGACACACGGCGGGUGCUAACGUCCGUCGUGAAGAGGGAAACAACCCAGACCGCCAGCUAAGGUCCCAAAGUCAUGGUUAAGUGGGAAACGAUGUGGGAAGGCCCAGACAGCCAGGAUGUUGGCUUAGAAGCAGCCAUCAUUUAAAGAAAGCGUAAUAGCUCACUGGUCGAGUCGGCCUGCGCGGAAGAUGUAACGGGGCUAAACCAUGCACCGAAGCUGCGGCAGCGACACUGUGUGUUGUUGGGUAGGGGAGCGUUCUGUAAGCCUGCGAAGGUGGCCUGUGAGGGUUGCUGGAGGUAUCAGAAGUGCGAAUGCUGACAUAAGUAACGAUAAAGCGGGUGAAAAGCCCGCUCGCCGGAAGACCAAGGGUUCCUGUCCAACGUUAAUCGGGGCAGGGUGAGUCGACCCCUAAGGCGAGGCCGAAAGGCGUAGUCGAUGGGAAACGGGUUAAUAUUCCCGUACUUGGUGUUACUGCGAAGGGGGACGGAGAAGGCUAUGUUGGCCGGGCGACGGUUGUCCCGGUUUAAGCGUGUAGGUGUGUGUUCCAGGUAAAUCCGGUUCACUUUAACACUGAGGCGUGACGACGAGGCACUACGGUGCUGAAGCAACAAAUGCCCUGCUUCCAGGAAAAGCCUCUAAGCAUCAGGUAACAUCAAAUCGUACCCCAAACCGACACAGGUGGUCAGGUAGAGAAUACCAAGGCGCUUGAGAGAACUCGGGUGAAGGAACUAGGCAAAAUGGUGCCGUAACUUCGGGAGAAGGCACGCUGAUAUGUAGGUGAAGUGAUUUACUCAUGGAGCUGAAGUCAGUCGAAGAUACCAGCUGGCUGCAACUGUUUAUUAAAAACACAGCACUGUGCAAACACGAAAGUGGACGUAUACGGUGUGACGCCUGCCCGGUGCCGGAAGGUUAAUUGAUGGGGUCAGCGCAAGCGAAGCUCCUGAUCGAAGCCCCGGUAAACGGCGGCCGUAACUAUAACGGUCCUAAGGUAGCGAAAUUCCUUGUCGGGUAAGUUCCGACCUGCACGAAUGGCGUAAUGAUGGCCAGGCUGUCUCCACCCGAGACUCAGUGAAAUUGAACUCGCUGUGAAGAUGCAGUGUACCCGCGGCAAGACGGAAAGACCCCGUGAACCUUUACUAUAGCUUGACACUGAACAUUGAGCCUUGAUGUGUAGGAUAGGUGGGAGGCUUUGAAGUGUGGACGCCAGUCUGCAUGGAGCCGACCUUGAAAUACCACCCUUUAAUGUUUGAUGUUCUAACGUGGACCCGUAAUCCGGGUUGCGGACAGUGUCUGGUGGGUAGUUUGACUGGGGCGGUCUCCUCCUAAAGAGUAACGGAGGAGCACGAAGGUUGGCUAAUCCUGGUCGGACAUCAGGAGGUUAGUGCAAUGGCAUAAGCCAGCUUGACUGCGAGCGUGACGGCGCGAGCAGGUGCGAAAGCAGGUCAUAGUGAUCCGGUGGUUCUGAAUGGAAGGGCCAUCGCUCAACGGAUAAAAGGUACUCCGGGGAUAACAGGCUGAUACCGCCCAAGAGUUCAUAUCGACGGCGGUGUUUGGCACCUCGAUGUCGGCUCAUCACAUCCUGGGGCUGAAGUAGGUCCCAAGGGUAUGGCUGUUCGCCAUUUAAAGUGGUACGCGAGCUGGGUUUAGAACGUCGUGAGACAGUUCGGUCCCUAUCUGCCGUGGGCGCUGGAGAACUGAGGGGGGCUGCUCCUAGUACGAGAGGACCGGAGUGGACGCAUCACUGGUGUUCGGGUUGUCAUGCCAAUGGCACUGCCCGGUAGCUAAAUGCGGAAGAGAUAAGUGCUGAAAGCAUCUAAGCACGAAACUUGCCCCGAGAUGAGUUCUCCCUGAGACUUAGAGUCUCCUGAAGGAACGUUGAAGACGACGACGUUGAUAGGCCGGGUGUGUAAGCGCAGCGAUGCGUUGAGCUAACCGGUACUAAUGAACCGUGAGGCUUAACCUUACAACGCCGAAG